rnacentral:SRP_RNA from 1 species
GCUGGGCAUGGUGGCGUGCACCUAUAGUCCCACCUACUCAGAAGGCUGAAGCGGGAGGAUCGCUUGAGCCCAGGAGUUCCAGGCCAUAGAGUACUAUGCUGAUAGGGUGUCCACACUAAGUCUGGCAUCAAUACGUUUACCUCCUGGAAGCAGGGGACCACCAGGUUGCCUAAGGAGGGGUCAACUGGCCCAGGUCACAAACAGAACAGUCUAAACUCUCAUGCUGAUCAGUAGUGGGAUUGCUCCUGUGAAUAGCCACUGUACUCCCACCUGGGCAACAUGGCGAGACCCUACCUCUU